AAAUCUCAUUUUCCCACCUCGAGAAAUCUACAGUAAUCAACUCACCGUGAGGACGCUGAAAACGAGGUAAGCGAGGGGUGCCGUUCCCAGUUUCAGCCAUGCUUAUGGAUCAUGUAAAUAACAAAUGGUUUGCCCGCAACUAUUAUUAAUUCAUUCCCUUUUGCAGUAUUUGUAGGUUACUGCAAUUCUGAAAAGGGCAACACCGGAUAUUCACUCCGCAGUACUGGCGUGUCCCUGUUUUCUCUCGCUCCCAGUGCACAAGUCCAGCAGUCAUCUGAAGCCCCCAGUGUUUUCCUUCAGCAGCAUGUGCUGCGGUGUCCCACGCUCCCAGGAUCCCGUAAUCGGAAUUCAGCAACAUCUUUGAAUAAGUCCUGCUUCCGAACCGGAUGGAAAGCCAUUGAACCACCCACUCACUGCAUGCCAGUCAAUCCAGAGCACUUCCAAGGGUUUUUGCAGUGCACAGUGGGUCAGAACGCUUGCAGCUGUGACAAAUGGACGUUCAAUCUCACCAUCUGAAUGAAAUUAGUAAAAGGCAGGAUUAUUAAAUUUAAAAGAUGUCAUGGAAAAUCGGUUGACUGUAUUCAAAUAGAUGAUAAAUGGAAAAUAACAUGCAUACCUGUCAAUGUCAAACAGGAAAGUCAUCAUUCUGUUUGACCUCAUAUCUUUGAAUAUGUUGCAUUUUAUAUUUUGUGUUUCAUUACUAGUGCUAUUCUACUGCUGAGAAAGGGUGUAGUCUAUAAGGGUACGCAUAGCAAAAUGUUUUGCACCUUCAUCACAAUCUCAUGCACCUAUACACUCAUACAUCAAGACAGAUGAAGCCUAUUUUGGUAUUAAUCUCUGCUACUACAGAAAGGACAAAAUAAAUGUAAAAAUGGCCUUUUGCUCUGACAUUUAUACACUGCUAAAAAUUACAUUUUUAUGUCAAUUUGCCAUUGUCCUUAAUAGAACAAAGCAUAACUCAGAAUGCCAACCUAGUCACCCAUUUAUAUACUUGAGCACUUAUUGGAGCAAUUUGAAUGAGGUACCUUGCUCACCAGCACAACAGUAACUUUUCACUUUAGGUCUGAGUAAACAAACUGAUAGGUGGUGUUUCUGUCCAUUACACCACACUGCUACAAUGAAACAUUUUCACUUAAAAGCUGAGACAAUCAAAGUAUAUUACACGUGAAAGUGAUUUUAACAUUAUUUAAAUAUAAUUGGGGGCACAACAGGAACAUAGAGAAUGUAAAAAAUAAGUGAAAUGUGCACAAACUAAUAUGUGCACUACCCACAUUUUCCGGAAAGAACCGGAUAAGAAGCUUUUCUCCUUUGAUAUGGAGGUUUAAUAGCUCCUUUAUGAGUCAUCACCUCUGCACGCAGUUCUUGAAAAAACAAGUUUUACAAACCAGAGCUAAGGAAUGAAUAGAAAUCUGGGGAAGGUUUGGCUAUAUAAUGAUCUACUCAGCAACUGCAAAAGAGUAUAAUUUAUGGAAUAAGAGUGAAAUAAUAGCUCAUUUUCUUAAAGCGUUUAGGCAAUACGAGACAAAUGUGGAGAAGAACACAGAGAUAGAAGCGACUAGUUUGUCAAAGACAAUCGUAGGUGAAUUCUUAGCUUAAUUGCCAAGGCUGAAUUUGCAUGACAUUUUGAAAGUGAUUGAAAAUAAAAGAAAAUAAGAUGUCAUGCAAAUACAAAAUUAUUUUUUAUUUAAUGUUAGCAAAUUAUUUGGAAUAUAUAUAGGGGUACAUAAGGUGGAGCUAAUUUCACACUAACAACAAAAAAUUAAAGUCACCAUUUUUACUGUCUUGCAAGGUUUGCUUGCAUGUCAUCACUCCUAAUCCUAAUACCUGUCCUCUAAUUUGUGCAUUUUGUACUUGUAGCCAUGUGGCCCCACUAAGAAUUAUUUAAUUCAAGACAGUUAUGCUGUGUGAACAGAGUAACUAGAUAAUACAGUACAUACACUGUAGCUGAAGUGUUUUGGACACAAUUUAGUGAAAACCUCAAGAACCAACUGGAUAAGAUCCUUGGAACACAUAGCUGUUAUAAACCAAAUAAUCUAGAUGGGCUGAAUGUCCUCUCCUCAUUUGCCACCUUUCCUAAUGUUCAGCCCAUGGUUUCUGCUAUUAUAACAUCUCUCACUAUUAUUGACACAGCUUGGUCUGGGUGGGAAGAAAACAAUUUUUUUGUUUUACAAUCUUUAAUUUACAGUGAUCAGAAUAUUCAAAAACAUAAUCACAACUCAAGAUAAACAAAACACUGACAGUUAAUAUGAAGUGAGGCAGCAGCUAAAUAAAUCGUAGUAAUUUCCAGGUGUUUACUAUCUAAAUAUGUAUAAAGAUGAAAAGUAACAGAUCAACAGAACAGAUCAAUAAUGAUUAACUGCUAUCUUAAAAUAAACUGGCAAUCAUAUCUGUAUAAGACAGAAUUAUUGUUGCAUAAAGAAGAAAAAACACUGAGUGAAAGAGGUGAACAAAACGUCUUAAACUUAAGACCGUAGUACAGUAUAUAUUUUAAAUGUUAUUUUGGAUUAAAGAUACUAUUUAAAAGUAAACUCCACCAAACUUUCCAAAUACACUUAAAAUACUACAGCGCUUUAUAUUUCAAGUGACAUUAAAAAUAAAGCACAUGUAAGCAAUUAUCAUUUUCCCAUUGUCCGACUGUUUUUGUAUUAAAAUUUCACGUUAUCGGCUCAUUGAUUACUUCAGACCUGUAUUGUUUCGGUGCUCUCUCCCCUGGAAAUUCUCAAGAAUCAAGUUUGUCCUCCCUUUAAACUGGUAACUCAUAACUACUUAAUUUUUUUGUCACUUUCUGGACAAAAAUGUUAUAGCUGGUGUACAUCAUGAUUAUUUUAACUUCAGCGAAAACUGGUCACAUCAGCGAGAAAUACAUUCGUAUUGACUUGUUAUCCAUUUCAUUGAUUGACGUUAAGUCAUUAAUAUCUGAGAUGGCAGAUAUCAAAGCCAUAAAAACACGCGGCACUUGAUUCAGGGAGUUAACUUUAAUUUAAAUACUGUAGGUGUCCGCACACACAGAACGUAGAUGGACACAUUUGAGCUAAUCGCAUUCGACAAGCGACUGAAUGACAUACACAUUUCAUAAUAGUAAAACGAACAGCAAGGAACUGAUUUUAAUGAAGCUACCUCGGGCUUAACGUCCUGGGCGCUUGAAUCGGAUGUCUUCUCCUACAUCCUAGUCUGUACUUUUUACCACCAAAUUAAACUGUAAUGUACUGGGUUUGC
ensembl:lincRNA